CUUGUUAGUAGUUGUGUGGGGGGAAACUCCCACACUUAAAAACAAGAAGACAAACUAUAGAAGGCCAGGAGGUAAUUCUGUAUAACUGCCUCAGGAGCUGAAAGGCAUGAGUGGAGAGCAGAGAGGGAACUAACUAGCUCCAAUCCCUUCAAUUUUCAUGCUGGGACAGGAACCAACACAGGAAACCUUCAACAAGCAUAUGUCUGCAAGACCAGACUAACCAGUAGGUUUCACAAGAAGUCCUGUGGAUAAGGGCUCUGCCUGUGUCACAAAGUCCUAACUAACCAAGAACAUCGUCUUGACGACAGCAUCUGUGCACCAAAUCUCUACAAGGCUAUACAUAAGAAAUGAGGACUAACAUGUUGUGCCAAAGCCUUCAUGGAAAAGGUGGAUUAUAAGAAGAAUAAUGGAUGGAUGGAUGGAAAGAAAUAGUGCUAUUUCACUAUUUAUAAAAAACUAAUGAAAGAAAAUCAGUCAUUAAAGCCUUCCCCCUCUGGGAACAGAACCGGGCAUUGAGGGAAUUCAGAGAGUCUCUUCAAGGAGCAAUUCUGGCAUCCGCACUCAUACACAGAUGCACCACACAUGCACACAAUGCCAGUGAUGAGUCAGUGGUCUGAUGCAACCACAUGUCUGAGAGCCUUGCAAUGCCGUAAAGCUGUGGUGGCCCUGCCAGCCUGAAGAUUUUAAAAAAAUAUUAGCAUGCACAAAAGAAAGACGACUUCUCAGUAGAUGUCUCUGUUGGUAUUGUUGACCUGUUAUUGACAGUCAAACACUUAUUGCUGAGAAUAUAUUACCAGCUCAGUAUCUAAAAAAUGGCAGAGGUCAACCCUACAGGAAAAGCAGCUCCAACAUACUGGUACUCCAGCUCAGAUGGCAAAUGGAAAGCUUCAGGAAAGAAAAUGGGCACACUUAACAAGACUGAAGCCAUAUUCCAGGCAAUAGGAAUAAACACACCUAUCCUUGAUGCUAUGUUUAUAAUGCCUCCAAUAAAAAAAAGGUUGAAGACAA